rnacentral:rRNA from 1 species
GGGGAAUAUUGGACAAUGGGCGAAAGCCUGAUCCAGCCAUGCCGCCUGUGUGAAGAAGGCCUUAUGGUUGUAGAGCACGUUAAGCGAGGAGGAGGCUCUUUUGGUUAAUACCCAAGAUGAUUGGACGUUACUCGCAGAAUAAGCACCGGCUAACUCUGUGCCAGCAGCCGCGGUAAUACAGAGGGUGCGAGCGUUAAUCGGAUUUACUGGGCGUAAAGCGUGCGUAGGCGGCUUUUUAAGUCGGAUGUGAAAUCCCCGAGCUUAACUUGGGAAUUGCAUUCGAUACUGGGAAGCUACAGUAUGGGAGAGGAUGGUAGAAUUCCAGGUGUAGCGGUGAAAUGCGUAGAGAUCUGGAGGAAUACCGACGGCGAAGGCAGCCAUCUGGCCUAAUACUGACGCUGAGGUACGAAAGCAUGGUGAGCAAACA